GUAAGGAAUAUUGCGCAAUGGAGGCAACUCUGACGCAGCCAUGCCGCGUGCAGGAAGAAGGCGCUACGCGUUGUAAACUGCUUUUAACCGGGAAGAAACCCCAGGACGUGUCCUGGGUUGACGGUACCGGAGGAAUAAGCACCGGCUAACUUCGUGCCAGCAGCCGCGGUAAUACGAAGGGUGCAAGCGUUAUCCGGAUUCAUUGGGUUUAAAGGGUGCGUAGGCGGAGCGUUAAGUCAGUGGUGAAAUCCUGCAGCUUAACUGUAGACUUGCCAUUGAUACUGGCGCUCUUGAGUGCGCUUGAAGUGGGCGGAAUGUGCCGUGUAGCGGUGAAAUGCUUAGAUAUGGCACAGAACACCAAUUGCGAAGGCAGCUCACUAAGGCGAUACUGACGCUGAGGCACGAAAGCGUGGGGAUCGAACAGGAUUAGAAACCCUUGUAGUCC
rnacentral:rRNA from 1 species